rnacentral:rRNA from 1 species
CCUACGGGUGGCAGCAGUGGGGAAUAUUGGACAAUGGGGGGAACCCUGAUCCAGCCAUGCCGCGUGUGUGAAGAAGGCCCUCGGGUUGUAAAGCACUUUCAGUGAGGAAGAACGCCUGGUGGUUAAUACCCAUCAGGAAAGACAUCACUCACAGAAGAAGCACCGGCUAACUCCGUGCCAGCAGCCGCGGUAAUACGGAGGGUGCGAGCGUUAAUCGGAAUUACUGGGCGUAAAGCGCGCGUAGGUGGCUUGAUAAGCCGGUUGUGAAAGCCCCGGGCUCAACCUGGGAACGGCAUCCGGAACUGUCAAGCUGGAGUGCAGGGGAGGAAGGUAGAAUUCCCGGUGUAGCGGUGAAAGGCGUAGAGAUCGGGAGGAAUACCAGUGGCGAAGGCGGCCUUCUGGACUGACACUGACACUGAGGUGCGAAAGCGUGGGUAGCAAACAGGAUUAGAUACCCCAGUAGUC